rnacentral:misc_RNA from 1 species
GUACGCGGAAGCCCGGCCAGGCUCUCGCUCGUCGCCUCGGGCGGGCAGUGACCUUGAGACCGCCGGCUGCGGAGGAGCGGAGGCCUCAUUCCCUGCCGGCAGACGCAACCGAGGGCUAUGACGAGGUGGUCGCACAGCCUGCCGCUCCUGGCGGCCCUGGUGGCGGCGAGCCAGUUGACACGCGCCAGCGCCCAGACCUCCUGCGCUCUGCCAGACUCGGUGAAGAACAACAUCCUCCAGUAUCAGGAUGACGUUGACAAGAUCAUGCAGGCGGCGCUGAACGAGCAGCAGCACCGGCACGCCGCCUACGAUGGGCUGGACGACUUCGUCGAGCGGUUCGGCGCACGGCCGUCCGGCUCCGACGAGCUGGAGGACGCCAUCGACUUCAUGGAGCAGACGGCUCGGCAGGACGGCUUCAGGGUGCGCACGGAGGAGGUCAUGGUGCCACAUUGGGUGCGCGGCGAGGAGACGCUGCUCAUGCUGCGGCCGCGCCGCAAGAGCAUGUCCAUCCUGGGCCUGGGCACCACCAUCGGCACGCAGCAGUACCCCGCAGGUGUGCUCAAGGCCGAGGCCGUGGUGUUCAACAGCUUCGAGGAGAUGGAGAAGGCCGGCAAGGCCAAGGUGUCUGGGAAGAUUGUCGUCUUCAACGCUCCGUUUGGAGACACCAAGGACCUUCCCAUAGACCGCUACAGGGAGUCGAACGAGUACCGUGUGCAUGGUGCGGCCCGAGCCUCCAAGCUAGGAGCGCUGGCUGCUCUGGUGCGCUCUCGCACGGACUUCAGCUUGAACACCCCCCACACGGGCUCCAUGGAUUACAACGUCAGCACGCCCAUCCCGGCGGCAGCCGUCACGCCCGAGGACGCUAACAUCAUGGCGAGGCACUUCAAGAAAGGCAAGCCAGUGGAGCUGUUGCUGAAGAUGUCGGCGGCGAAUCUGCCGCAGAGAAAGUCUCGCAACUUGAUCGUCGAUUACGGUCCCGCUGACGCCAUCGAGAUGGUGCUGCUCAGCGCCCACAUGGACAGCUGGGACGUCGGCGAGGGCGCCAUGGACAACGGCGGUGGCGUCUUCGUCAACUACCAUAGCAUCAAGCUGCUCAAGCAGCUAGGCCUGAUGCCCAGGCGGACCAUCCGCGUGGUCUUCUGGACGGCGGAGGAGGAGGGCUACUACGGUGGCAAGGAGUACAUCAAGAACCACGAGUUCGACGUGCAGAAGAUGCAGAUUGCUAUCGAAAACGACCUGGGCGUGUCCCGGCCGCUGGGCCUGCGCAUUGCCGGCUCGGACGCCGCCAAGUGCUUCGUCAAGCACACCACCUCGCUCUUCGGACUGGCCAACUCCACACGCACGGCCGGCGACCCGCCGUUGUCGGAAGCGCACCUCUUCAACGAGAAGGGCGUGCCGGCGGCGUGUAUCGACACAGACCAGAGCCGCUACUUCUGGUACCACCACACGCAGGCCGACACGAUGGACGCGCUGGAUCCGCGCGAGAUGGACCUGUGCGUGGCCACCAUGGCCUCGGCCGCCUUCGUGUUCGCCGACGUGCCGGACCGGGUCCCCAGGUAGAGGCCUUGCUGACGUUGCAGUGCCCCUGCGGUCAGUGAAGGGCUCAGCAAAUAAGAGGAGCUCGGCCAUCGCUCGACGGCCGGCGCUGUGCCUGGUGGCGGUGGUGGCGGUAGCAGCUCGGCUGCUCGGCUAACGGCAGCUCUCGUGC